GCUUAACACAUGCAAGUCGAGCGGUAACAGAUCUAGCUUGCUAGAUGCUGACGAGCGGCGGACGGGUGAGUAACGCGUAGAUAGCUGCCUAGUAGUGGGGGAUAGCCCGGGGAAACUCGGAUUAAUACCGCAUACGCUCUACGGAGNNNNNGGGGCUUCGGCUCUCGCUAUUAGAUGUGUCUGCGUGGGAUUAGCUAGUUGGUGAGGUAAAGGCUCACCAAGGCGACGAUCUCUAGCUGGUCUGAGAGGAUGAUCAGCCACACUGGGACUGAGACACGGCCCAGACUCCUACGGGAGGCAGCAGUGGGGAAUAUUGCACAAUGGGCGCNAGCCUGAUGCAGCCAUGCCGCGUGUGUGAAGA
rnacentral:rRNA from 1 species